CCCGGACUAGCUCAGUUGGCAGAGCGCACGAUUAAUUUACCAAAAUAGCGUGAGGUCGCAAGUUCGACUCUUGCGUCUGGGC